GGGGCGCAGCCUGAUGCCAGCCAUGCCGCGUGAGUGAUGAAGGCCUUCGGGUUGUAAAGCUCUUUUAUCAGGGACGAAAUCCACGUGGACUAAUACCANUGGAGGAAUGACCGUACCUGUACAAUAAGCACCGGCUAACUACGUGCCAGCAGCCGCGGUAAUACGAAUGGUGCAAGCGUUAAUCGGAAUUACUGGGCGUAAAGCGUGCGUAGGCGGUUCUUUAAGUCUGUUGUGAAAGCCCCGGGCUCAACCUGGGAACUGCANUGGAGACUGGNAAACUAGAGUGUGUGANAGGGUGGUGGAAUUCCCGGUGUAGCAGUGAAAUGCGUANAGAUCAGGAGGAACAUCAGGUGGCGAACGCAGUGCUUCUGGACCAACACUGACACUGAUGCACGAAUGCG
rnacentral:rRNA from 1 species